GAUCCUGGCUCAGAAUCAACGCUGGCGGCGCGCCUAACACAUGCAAGUCGAACGGGAAAGUGGGGCAACCCAUGAGUAGAGUGGCGUACGGGUGAGUAACACGUGGAGAUCUACCUCUUAGUGGGGAAUAACCCAGGGAAACCGGGGCUAAUACCGCAUAAGCUCGGGAGAAGCAAUGCGCUGAGAGAGGAGUCCGCGGCCGAUUAGCUAGUUGGUAGGGUAAAAGCCUACCAAGGCAAAGAUCGGUAGCCGGCCUGAGAGGGCACACGGCCACACUGGCACUGAAACACGGGCCAGACUCCUACGGGAGGCAGCAGUGGGGAAUCUUGCACAAUGGGGGAAACCCUGAUGCAGCGACGCCGCGUGAGCGAUGAAGCCCUUCGGGGUGUAAAGCUCUUUCGGCAGGGAAGAUGAUGACGGUACCUGCAGAAGCAGCUGCGGCUAACUACGUGCCAGCAGCCGCGGUAAUACGUAGGCAGCAAGCGUUGUUCGGAGUUACUGGGCGUAAAGGGUGUGUAGGCGGUUGCUUAAGUUUGGUGUGAAAUCUCCCGGCUCAACUGGGAGGGUGCGCCGAAUACUGAGUGACUCGAGUGCGGGAGAGGAGAGUGGAAUUCCUGGUGUAGCGGUGAAAUGCGUAGAUAUCAGGAGGAACACCGGUGGUGUAGACGGCUCUCUGGACUGUAACUGACGCUGAGACACGAAAGCGUGGGUAGCAAACAGGAUUAGAUACCCUGGUAGUCCACGCCCUAAACGAUGCAUAUUUGGUGUGGGCAGUUCAUUCUGUCCGUGCCGGAGCUAACGCGUUAAAUAUGCCGCCUGGGGAGUACAGUCGCAAGGCUGAAACUCAAAGGAAUUGACGGGGGCCCGCACAAGCGGUGGAGCAUGUGGUUC
rnacentral:rRNA from 1 species